GGGCAGAGCAUCCAGGCAGUGGGAACAGCAAGUGCAAAGUUCCUGUGGCAGAAAUGUGCCUGGCAAGGAGGCCUGCAUGGCUGGAGCAUUGUGAGCUGGUGGGAGAAUGGAGAACAGGAAGAGAUGAUGGGGUAUGGGUUGGGAAGGCCUUUCAAGCUAUCAUUAAAACUGUGGCACGUGAUGUGAGACAGCAGAGGAGUUAGUUUUGAAUCUAGUUUCAUUUUGAAAGGGUCACUCUGGUGGCUGUCAGGAGAAGAGACUCUAGGGACGCCAGGCGAGGAUUGAAGCUGGGAGAUGCCUGGAGGCUCCAGCUGUAAUUCACGUACCUCGCGUCUUCAUCGGUAAAGACUGUAUAGGUGGAUGCACUGACCUACUCAACAUGCAUCAGAGUGGGCAGCUGUUGACACGGCUAAAGCAAAUUGGAGCUCUAGAAUAAUUACAGGCAGAGGGAAUAGCAAGUGCAAAGGCCCUGACGUGAGAAGUAUGGACUCUUCAAGGAAGGGAAGGGAAGCAAGAGCAGACCGAGUGAAGCGUAGUGAGAAGGAAGAGGAGUAACAUGUGGGCAGGGGCCAGAGCACGCAGGCCUUGGUAAGUAAUCUGGAUGAUUCUGAGUGCAACGUGAAAUCAAGGUAACUUUUGCUUUGCUGUAUUCACACUGCAAAUCAAUUCAAUCUAAUUGGCUUCCCAAACGCCAAAACGAAGUUUUCUAAAAUUGUAACCUAAAGGAGAUCCUUGGCUCAAUGGAAAACCAUAGGGUGAUGAACUAUUCAGAAAGGAACCAGCCUACUUUUGGGGUCUGCUGAGCUCCCUUCUCCCCCGGCUCUUGUUAGUGCUAGCCAGCUUCAAGCCAGGCCAACUCCACUGACUCAUACAUACAGAGACUCUGUUUUUUUUAGUCAAAGGAGAAAUGUAUGGUUCUUAAACCAAAAUAUUCUUUGAGGGGUAUUUAUUAUCCAUUAAUUAAUAACUUACCCUUGAGAAAUGAGUAUGUAUAAUUUGUGGUGGUUACUCAGAAUAGCAACAGAAGUAUGAAAAAGAAAGGUCUGGAAAAAUAUAACUGAAUCCCUUGAAAUAAAAUAGUUAAUAUUAUAAGCCUUCUAAUCACAAUUCUACAACAUCCUCUAGGCAGGUGAGCACUGUCUGCUUGGGUGAGCUUCCUGGCCUCACCCCGUGCACUAAAGCACUUAACCCAAUUAACUAUGGUGCCAAAUGUUUCCUAUUCUGGAAUACUUUUUUUAGCAAUUUAGGCUUAGACGAAGAAUGGAAGGAAGCUAAUGACAUUCCUGGGAAGAUGAGGAAUACCGUUUCCCCAACUACCUCUAUGUUGGGGUGGCCAUUAGAGUCCCCCAUACUCACAAGCUUUCUUUAUUUGCAUUAUAUGCUCUCAGUAUUUUGCUGGCAGCUGCAUCCCAGGGCCAUCUGUAACACAUUGUGUUUAAAUAGCAAGAGUAAGUGUCCUGGUAAUGAAAAGGGAAAUGAGGGGAAUUUACCUUUCCAAGAAAAUCCAGUUCUCUGUAUUUUUUCCCAGCAGAGCUGAUCCCAGACUGAUGUCCCCCUGAGAGCUGAAUAGCAUUGCAAUGAUGACAGCACUUCCUGGUGGAUGGAUCAGGGGCUACCUUUACCCAGCUACAGCAGCUGUUUACUUCUGAAAUAUGUUAACCAAAAAAGGAGGGGUGGGGGUUGGCAAAAAUAGCUUUUUCUUUUUUGAUUUAGUGUUAAAAGUGGCUCAACUUGCCCCAAAUCACAGAUCUGAGAAGGUUGAUGGAUGUCUUGGGUUUCUUCUGGAUCGGCCCUUUGGGUUCCAAAAGACCGUGACAGUCAUGGCCUAGAAUUCACUCACUGACUCAAAAGAUGUUCUCUCUCUUUGGCACAUGUUUCUUAUGAUUGUCCUCCAUGCGCCGGGCCUCGUCUACCUCUAAGCCAGUGUUUCGCAACCAAGUUUAUCCCAAGCCCCUCAGGAUGAAUCUGUAGUUGGUUUUCUGCUACUACCUGAAAAUUAUUUUGUUGAGUUUGGCUUUAUGGAGUUUGUACUAUGAAAUCAAUAAGUAUUUUGAAUGUACUUUUUCAAACUGCAUGUGUCUCCCUGGUUACCAUCCUCACUCCACCCCACUCCUAUCUUGAGAAUCGUUUGCUCUGAAACAGUGUUCUCAACCUUGACAAAUUCACAGCUCUCACAGGAAAUGUUCAACAGUUAAGAAAUUGGAGAAGUGAAUUAAGAAAUGAAGGGCCUGAGGGCCCCAUUUGAGAAAGUCCGCAUGAAACAUUAAGCACUGUUGGCCUCCUGGUGCCCAGUGAUCGGAGGUCCAGGUGGAGAUGCCGUGAUCAUCUCUUGCCUAAGAUGCUCAUCCAGGUCAUCCUGAACAAGUAUGUGUUAAUUUGCUUAGAUUAUGAACCAAAGUAAAACAUGAAAUUUAAAACGUUAUCACAGAAAACUUACAACUCCCUCCCCCAAGGGUAUGUCUGUGAAAGUAGCCAAAUUUAAGAAACACGGUCCUAAAUUAUUUUCUCUCUCCUUUUUUUCCCUACUCUCUGAAAACUUAAGGAUCCCUUACUGUGAUGUUUGUUCUAGCAUUGCAAGAGUAAGUUAAUUUCCUUCUGCAGUCUUUAGGGUGAAUGUUAAUUUCUUUUCUAAUAAAGAAGUACCCAGAGAUGAUA
ensembl:lncRNA